rnacentral:rRNA from 1 species
UACAGAGGGUGCGAGCGUUAAUCGGAAUUACUGGGCGUAAAGCGUGCGCAGACGGUCACGUAAGUCGGGUGUGAAAGCCCCGGGCUCAACCUGGGAAUUGCAUUCGAGACUGCAUGGCUAGGGUGCGGAAGAGGGAAGCGGAAUUUCCGGUGUAGCGGUGAAAUGCGUAGAUAUCGGAAGGAACACCAGUGGCGAAAGCGGCUUCCUGGUCCAGCACCGACGUUCAGGCACGAAAGCGUGGGGAGCAAACAGG